GCAGCCGUAGCUCAGUUGGUUAGAGCACCAGAUUGUGGAUCUGGGGGUCCCCCGUUCGAGCCGGGGCGGCUGUA
rfam:Microvirga vignae strain BR3299 T20BR3299_1_(paired)_contig_67, whole genome shotgun sequence.